UACAGAGGUCUCAAGCGUUGUUCGGAUUCAUUGGGCGUAAAGGGUGCGUAGGUGGUGAGGUAAGUCAGGUGUGAAAUCUCGGGGCUCAACCCCGAAACUGCACUUGAUACUGCCUUGCUGGAGUACUGGAGAGGAGAUUGGAAUUUACGGUGUAGCAGUGAAAUGCGUAGAUAUCGUAAGGAAGACCAGUGGCGAAGGCGAAUCUCUGGACAGUUACUGACACUGAGGCACGAAGGCCAGGGGAGCAAACGGG
rnacentral:rRNA from 1 species